rnacentral:rRNA from 1 species
GACGAACGCUGGCGGCGUGCUUAACACAUGCAAGUCGAACGGAAAGGCCCUGCUUUUGUGGGGUGCUCGAGUGGCGAACGGGUGAGUAACACGUGAGUAACCUGCCCUUGACUUUGGGAUAACUUCAGGAAACUGGGGCUAAUACCGGAUAGGAGCUCCUGCUGCAUGGUGGGGGUUGGAACGUUUCGGCGGUUGGGGAUGGACUCGCGGCUUAUCGGCUUGUUGGUGGGGUAGUGGCUGACCAAGGGUUUGACGGGUAGCCGGCCUGAGAGGGUGACCGGCCACAUUGGGACUGAGGUACGGACCAGACUGCUACGGGAGGCAGCAGUGGGGAAUAUUGCACAAUGGGCGCGAGCCUGAUGCAGCAGCGCCGCGUGCGGGAUGACGGCCUUCGGGUUGUAAACCGCUUUCGCCUGUGACGAAGCGUGUGUGACGGUAAUGGGUAAAGAAGCACCGGCUAACUACGUG